GACAGGUUAGUACAGUGGUGAACCUAUAGGCCUUCAGUGUGACAGGUUAGUACAGUGGUGAACCUAUAGGCCUUCAGUGUGACAGGUUAGUACAGUGGUGAACCUAUAGGUCUUCAGUGUGUGACAGGUUAGUACAGUGGUGAACCUAUAGGUCUUCAGUGUGUGACAGGUUAGUACAGUGGUGAACCUAUAGGUCUUCAGUGUGACAGGUUAGUACAGUGGUGAACCUAUAGGUCUUCAGUGUGUGACAGGUUAGUACAGUGGUGAACCUAUAGGUCUUCAGUGUGUGACAGGUUAGUACAGUGGUGAACCUAUAGGCCUUCAGUGUGUGACAGGUUAGUACAGUGGUGAACCUAUAGGCCUUCAGUGUGUGACAGGUUAGUACAGUGGUGAACCUAUAGGCCUUCAGUGUGUGACAGGUUAGUACAGUGGUGAACCUAUAGGCCUUCAGUGUGUGACAGGUUAGUACAGUGGUGAACCUAUAGGCCUUCAGUGUGUGACAGGUUAGUACAGUGGUGAACCUAUAGGCCUUCAGUGUGUGACAGGUUAGUACAGUGGUGAACCUAUAGGCCUUCAGUGUGACAGGUUAGUACAGUGGUGAACCUAUAGGCCUUCAGUGUGUGACAGGUUAGUACAGUGGUGAACCUAUAGGACUUCAGUGUGUGACAGGUUAGUACAGUGGUGAACCUAUAGGACUUCAGUGUGUGACAGGUUAGUACAGUGGUGAACCUAUAGGUCUUCAGUGUGACAGGUUAGUACAGUGGUGAACCUAUAGGACUUCAGUGUGUGACAGGUUAGUACAGUGGUGAACCUAUAGGUCUUCAGUGUG